CCCUACGGGGUGCCGCAGGCCGGCGGACAUUACUUUGUGCUGAUUCUCGAGGCCAUGACCAGCGGCGUCUACCCGGCGCAGGCCAUCGACUGUCAGCACGGAUCGGGGCGACCGUUCGAGGCGCUGGUCGGCAUCAUCGAGGAGGGCCAGCGGAGAGGACAGGUCGUGCAGGCGGACCCAGCCCAGUUGGCAGUGACAUUCUUUUCUGCCGUUGUGGGGCUUGCCCUGCUCAAGAUGUCGGGCACCAUCCGGUCCAUGCCCGACCCGGAACUCCUGAUGAGAGUAUUCAGCGCUGCCUCGCCGGCAGCUGCGUCCUAGUGAGGUGAAAUCAUGCGUAAUCUU
rnacentral:rRNA from 1 species